rnacentral:rRNA from 1 species
UACGUAGGGGGCAAGCGUUGUCCGGAAUCAUUGGGCGUAAAGAGCGCGUAGGCGGCCCGGUAAGUCCGCUGUAAAAGUCAAAGGCUCAACCUUUGAAUGUCAGUGGAUACUGCCGGGCUAGAGUCCGGAAGAGGCGAGUGGAACUCCUGGUGUAGCGGUGGAAUGCGCAGAUAUCAGGAAGAACACCGACGGCGAAGGCAGCUCGCUGGGACGGUACUGACGCUGAGGCGCGAAAGCGUGGGGAGCGAACAGG